UACGGAAGGCAGCAGGGGGAAUAUUGCACAAUGGGCGCAAGCCUGAUGCAGCCAUGCCGCGUGUAUGAAGAAGGCCUUCGGGUUGUAAAGUACUUUCAGUCGUGAGGAAGGUGUUAAGGUUAAUAACCUUAGCAAUUGACGUUAGCGACAGAAGAAGCACCGGCUAACUCCGUGCCAGCAGCCGCGGUAAUACGGAGGGUGCGAGCGUUAAUCGGAAUUACUGGGCGUAAAGGGCACGCAGGCGGUUAAUUAAGUUGGAUGUGAAAUCCCCGGGCUUAACCUGGGAAUGGCAUUCAAGACUGGUUAGCUAGAGUCUUGUAGAGGGGGUAGAAUUCCAUGUGUAGCGGUGAAAUGCGUAGAGAUGUGGAGGAAUACCGGUGGCGGAAAGGCGGCCCCUGGACAAAGCUGGACGCUCAUGUGCGAAAAGCGGUGGGGAGCAAAACAGGGAUUAGAUACC
rnacentral:rRNA from 1 species